rnacentral:rRNA from 1 species
ACUCCUACGGGAGGCAGCAGUGGGGAAUAUUGCACAAUGGGGGAAACCCUGAUGCAGCCAUGCCGCGUGUGUGAAGAAGGCCUUGGUUGUAAAGCACUUUCAGUAGGGAGGAAGGUAGUGUAGUUAACACCUGCACUAUUUGACGUUACCUACAGAAGAAGCACCGGCUAACUCCGUGCCAGCAGCCGCGGUAAUACGGAGGGUGCGAGCGUUAAUCGGAAUUACUGGGCGUAAAGCGCAUGCAGGCGGCCUGUUAAGUCAGAUGUGAAAGCCCGGGGCUUAACCUCGGAAUUGCAUUUGAAACUGGCAGGCUAGAGUCUUGUAGAGGGGUUAGGAAUUUCAGGUGUAGCGGUGAAAUGCGUAGAGAUCUGAAGGAAUACCAGUGGCGAAGGCGGCCCCCUGGACAAAGACUGACGCUCAGAUGCGAAA